AUUGAACGCUGGCGGCAGGCUUAACACAUGCAAGUCGAGCGGAGAGAGGUAGCUUGCUACUGAUCUUAGCGGCGGACGGGUGAGUAACGCUUAGGAAUCUGCCUAUUAGUGGGGGACAACAUUUCGAAAGGAAUGCUAAUACCGCAUACGUCCUACGGGAGAAAGCAGGGGAUCUUCGGACCUUGCGCUAAUAGAUGAGCCUAAGUCGGAUUAGCUAGUUGGUGGGGUAAAGGCCUACCAAGGCGACGAUCUGUAGCGGGUCUGAGAGGAUGCUCCGCCACACUGGGACUGAGACACGGCCCAGACUCCUACGGGAGGCAGCAGUGGGGAAUAUUGGACAAUGGGCGGAAGCCUGAUCCAGCCAUGCCGCGUGUGUGAAGAAGGCCUUAUGGUUGUAAAGCACUUUAAGCGAGGAGGAGGCUACUUUAGUUAAUACCUAGAGAUAGUGGACGUUACUCGCAGAAUAAGCACCGGCUAACUCUGUGCCAGCCGCCGCGGUAA
rnacentral:rRNA from 1 species